UCGGACGGAAGGGCAAACAAAUUUCACUCGUGACAACAGAAAAUCACAUUCGCAAUCAAGAGAGGCGAGCAUAUCAAAAAGGUUUUCGCGUGAACGAUCCGACGAGCAAUUAUGUUCACCGACUACGUUAAUGCGGUCGAAGCUUUUUUUUCGAGAAAGGAAAAAGCUUUUUGGACGAUUCAGCCCAAAGAUGAGGAUGAAAAAGAAAAAUGGUCGGGUGGAAGGAACGCAAAAUAAAAUAUUAUAAUCCUUAUGAUUAACCUAAUAUCGAUGCAUUGCCGACGACGAUGGUGACCAUUACUAAGACCUUACUUCUACCCUAAACUCAUCGGCCAUUCGAUGAAGGUGAAAGUUUUCUUCUUUGGAGGGUUGCCGAAGAAAAUUACCGGAUGGAAAAAAGUAAGAAAAAAGAAAAAAAUAAAAAAAAAAAAAAAGAGAAGAAGAAAGAAAAAAGUAAAGGAAAACGGGAAGGACGUGUCUCUCGUUUCGAACUUCGAGAUCGGAACCUUCGCGAUCGUUUCCAACGUCGCUCGUGCCUUUACUCGUGCGUUUCAUCUACGCACACGUAUACACGCACAUACACACACACAAAUACAAAUACACAUGCAU